rnacentral:rRNA from 1 species
UACGUAGGGUGCGAGCGUUAAUCGGAAUUACUGGGCGUAAAGCGUGCGCAGGCGGUCUGUUAAGACAGAUGUGAAAUCCCCGGGCUUAACCUGGGAACUGCAUUUGUGACUGGCAGGCUAGAGUAUGGCAGAGGGGGGUAGAAUUCCACGUGUAGCAGUGAAAUGCGUAGAGAUGUGGAGGAAUACCGAUGGCGAAGGCAGCCCCCUGGGCCAAUACUGACGCUCAUGCACGAAAGCGUGGGUAGCAAACAGG